rnacentral:lncRNA from 1 species
CCGGCCCGCCCGCUAGGCGGGGACGCGGCGCCGGCUGGUUCCCGGUCCCCCGAGGCCCAGGCGCAGCCGGGGGUGGGGGACACGGAGUCAGGCCUGGCACGCGGCCAGCCCACAAGCUGCUGGAGACCCCCUCAUACAAAUCUUGCCCCCAGUCCAGAGGGUCCUAAUCUGAGAACUCCAAAAUACAGCCUGGAGACAAAUGGUGGGGAGGGUUUCCCCUAAAUUUGGACAUCUCCAGAUUAAGACCUCUGCCGAAUCCGUGAGGCUUUCCCUCUCCAAGGAGCUCCUAAGAGAAUUUCCCAGUAAAAUCGCCUCAACUGCGGUAAAUAGGCUGUUCCCCGCGCCAGCAUUUGAGAAGAGCUGGUCCCCAGAGUGUAAAGGAGUUGGGAUGUUGGCAGGAGGAAGGAUGUGUCGCCGGAUGAGGAAAAGAAAGAACAGGGAAAUUUGGAUGCAGAGACACAGAGAAAAUGCCAUGUGAAGAUGGAUCAGAGACAGAAGUGAUGCGGCUGCAAGCCGAGGAAUGUGAAGAAUGGCCAGCCACCACCGGAAGCUAGGGGAGACGCCAGCACAGAUUCUCCCUGAGAGUAUCCAGAAGAAACCAACCCUCCAACACCUGGAUUUCAGACUUCUGACCUUGAGAAGUGUGAGCCAAUAAAACAACUGCAGUGGAGUCAGUGGUUCUUGUUUUAAGCCACCCA